AGGAUAAACGCUGGCGGCGUGCCUAACACAUGCAAGUCGAACGCCCUUUUGUGCCGCAAGGUGGAAGAGGGAGUGGCGGACGGGUGAGGAACACGUGGGUGACCUACCUUUCAGUGAGGAAUACCGGCGAGAAAUCGCCGACAAGACCGCAUACGCUUCUCUGUUCAAUCGGGGAAGGAAGCUUCAUGAGAGUGAGGCGCUGGAAGAUGGGCCUGCGGCCGAUUAGCUAGCUGGUGGGGUAAUGGCCUACCAGGGCGACGAUCGGUAGC
rnacentral:rRNA from 1 species